AAUAGAUCUAAGAGUCUUAGGUUUCCAGUAUUAAUAUCUUGUGCACAUAUUUGCAGGAGACUGUUUCUAGGUCAAAUUAGCACAUGCAGGCUGAGAUCUGUGCUGGGAUGUUUUAAGUUCCAGUGGAAAUGUCAUCAGGCAAAGCAGCGGAAAACCAAGAUGCAGCUCUGUGACGAUUCCACGGUAUCCAGACCAGCUGAUAAUCAGUUAUUCAAGGUCAGUUUAAGAACCAAGUCAUCUUUCCUUUCAACCACCACCACCACAACAUCCACACAGAGGAAUUCUCUGCCUUCAGGGAGCUGGGGCCAUGUGAGUCACAGUCUCUAGGUAAGCAUCAUCUCAAUGUAUGUGCAUGUGUGCAUGUGAGUGUGC
rnacentral:lncRNA from 1 species